AGGACGAACGCUGGCGGCGUGCUUAACACAUGCAAGUCGAGCGGAAAGGCCUUUCGGGGUACUCGAGCGGCGAACGGGUGAGUAACACGUGAGUAAUCUGCCCAUCGCUUCAGGAUAGCCAUCGGAAACGGUGAUUAAUACUGGAUAUGACAUUCCUUCGCAUGUUGGGGUGUGGUAAAGUUUUUUCGGCGGUGGAUGUGCUCGCGGCCUAUCAGCUUGUUGGUGGGGUAAUGGCCUACCAAGGCUUUGACGGGUAGCCGGCCU
rnacentral:rRNA from 1 species